GCACAAUCAGCCAGUCAUCAGGAGGACCAAAUAAUGGAUAAAACUAUUAGUUUUAUAAAUGGAUAAAACUAUUAGCCAACUGACGCCCCAGUGGAAGAGUGGGUGUUUGAGACAAAUGUUUACUGUUUCUCAGAACUAUCUCAGAGACUCACUGCAGUAGGUGAACAGUCUACUGAAGUCUGUGGACUUCACUAUAAUCAAGCCUAUAUUUUCAUGUACUUCUGAGAUGUCUUAAAGAACAGAGAGGUGACUGGAAUAAUGAAUAGCAAAAUCCUAUGAGAAAAAAAUGGAAAAUGAGGGAGAAACAGAAGCUGUCUAUCUACCCUGGUGUCUUGCUUCUAGGACUAAAUAGGCAUUUAGUUCCAUCCUUUGUACCUGCCAUCUCCAAAUAAAGAUGAGCUCAAGGAAUAAUAAGUUGAAAAUUUAAAGAGACAAAAUUAACAAAAUCACAUAGCACGGCAGUCUUUUUCAAUCAGCAUGGUCAACAGCCAUUUAGGAAAGCCAGAAUAAACAUGUUUUAUAGCAUAUGCAGUCAAAGAAGAACAGUUCAAGACCAAUGGCAAGUGGAGCACUUGGUGACCUUAUCAUAUGAUGAUUAUAGAGACUAAUCCGAAGACCUAUUGUGCAAAUCCCAGUAUUUCAUAAAAUCAGAUUGUAAAUUCAGAUACUCAGAAGCAAUCCUAUUUUGUUCAGCAGAUUAUUUGGAGAAUAAGCAAUGUAAAGAUUGCAGCUGGAUUAUAUUUGCUAUAUAUGGAUAUGGGAAUUAAGCCUAAAUUUGUAUCCAGUUAAAUCUGUUCAGUUUUUUUUUAAUUACCAGUAAAUCAAUGUUAAAGCCAUUAUUCCAUCAUCAGAAUUGCUACCAAUGUUUUAUGUCUAAAUUUUAAAAAUUCAUAUGAUUCUUUCAGUUUGGAUAGCAUCAUUUGCCCAAAUAUUAUGACAUGUUAAUUAUUUUAUUCUGCAGUUUAAUUCAACCAUUUUGCAUCCUGCAUUCUGUUAAUAGUUCAGGAUUUCAGCAGACUCACUGGCAUCAGUUGUGUUCAUGUGGAGUAGCCCUAUUCAGCACUCAUACCUUCUUUCUGAGGUUCCAGCUCCUUCCUUCUUUAGGUUUUCCAUGCUUUUUUUUUUCUUUUCUUUUCUUUUCUCUAGGUUUUCCAUGUCUUUUUCAUCCAACAACCAACUUUCUAUGAUCAUUGGUCAAGCUCAGUCCUCAUUGAGCUGUUUCUCCUUUUAGAGUUUUAUUUUGCUUUAAACUUUUGGGGUACAAUAUUUUUUCACCUGAUACUUCCAGCCUUUGCAUAUAGCUUCUUAAAUAAAGCAUAAAUUCGCUAAUGGAAUUUAGUGGCUUGGCUCCUAGAUAUCUGCAAAACAUCUUCUUCAAGUGGACCAGCCCCUAUCUUCUCAGGUAGGAAAUAUCUAGGAUCUCUGACAUAUGGGAGGUCUGGGUGGAGGCUAGGAGAUAGUGUUUUUUGUAAUUGCUCCAUCCUUUAUAGCAGCCUUCCCAACUGGCAUUUAAGAAAACAGUUUAAAUAGAGGUCUUCACAGGGCCAGGUAGACCAUUUCAGGAAACUGACACCACAAGGAAUCCAGUAAUGCUACUUUAUUGUUAUAGGGUACAACAACAUGAUCUUGAAAGUCUGUCAGAGUUUCUCUUUGUUCCCCCUUACACCAAAAAGAAUCAAGAUGGGCUUAUUUUGAAUUUCUUUCUUAGGGCUUUCCCCUUUCUCAAGACUGAAUUGCUGUUUUACCUCCCUUAAUGGCUCCCCCAUUCCAAGGUCAUCUCUACAUUUCUUUAUACAUAGAGCCUUUGAUCUGUAAAGAUUGUUGCCAGAUGCUGAGUUGGAUUGUGGUUUUCUUGUUUUAAUGCAAUGGUAGGACUUGUUUUGGAAUAUGUCCAAAUAUUAAAACUGUAAAUAACUAAGUAAACUAAAAUGACAAAUGCUAUUCAAUAUAAGUUGGUGUAAAAUGAGGCAAGAGGGCAAAGUCCUAACAUAUGUGCUGAUGGGAUCUGACUGGUGACUAGCUUAGGGUCAUGGGACUGUGAUAGACAGGUUGAUCCAGCAUGUGGCAAGAAGUUCCUGGACUCAAGAUUCCAUAUGUGUUAUCACUUUUGCAGGUUUAGUUGGUGGAUCACAGUGUUCUAAUAAAAAAGGAAAGUACCGUAUUUUUCCGUCAAUAAGA